UACGUAGGGGGCAAGCGUUGUCCGGAAUCAUUGGGCGUAAAGAGCGUGUAGGCGGCCAGAUAAGUCCGCUGUGAAAUCUCGAGGCUCAACUUCGAGCUGUCGGUGGAAACUGUCUGGCUAGAGUCCGGAAGAGGCGAGUGGAAUUCCUGGUGUAGCGGUGGAAUGCGCAGAUAUCAGGAGGAACACCAGUGGCGAAGGCGGCUUCCUGGACCGGUACUGACGCUGAGGUGCGAAAGCGUGGGGAGCAAACAGG
rnacentral:rRNA from 1 species